rnacentral:tRNA from 1 species
GGGACUGUAGCUUAAUGGUAAAGUACUUGCCUCGAAUGUGUGAGGCACUGGGUUCAAUCCUCAGCACCA